rnacentral:tRNA from 1 species
CAUUAGAUGACUGAAAGUAAGUAUAGGUCUUUUAAACCUACUAUAGUAAUUAACGAUUACUUCUAGUGA